rnacentral:rRNA from 1 species
UACGGGGGGGGCAAGCGUUGUUCGGAAUUACUGGGCGUAAAGGGCUCGUAGGCGGCCAAUUAAGUCCGACGUGAAAUCCCAAGGCUUAACCUUGGAACUGCGUCGGAUACUGGAUGGCUUGAAUUCGGGAGAGGGAUGCAGAAUUCCAGGUGUAGCGGUGAAAUGCGUAGAUAUCUGGAGGAACAUCGGUGGCGAAGGCGGCAUCCUGGACCGGUAUUGACGCUGAGGCGCGAAAGCCAGGGGAGCAAACGGG